AGCCUUACGUUUUUUAUAUUUAAGUACACCAGCCGAUUCUUCAAUAAUUUGACGUCUAUCAAUUGGUUU
rnacentral:sRNA from 1 species